rnacentral:rRNA from 1 species
UACGGAGGGUGCAAGCGUUAUCCGGAUUCACUGGGUUUAAAGGGUGCGUAGGUGGGUUGAUAAGUCAGUGGUGAAAUCCCCGAGCUUAACUUGGGAACUGCCAUUGAUACUAUUGAUCUUGAAUACCGUGGAGGUCAGCGGAAUAUGUCAUGUAGCGGUGAAAUGCUUAGAUAUGACAUAGAACACCAAUUGCGAAGGCAGCUGGCUACGCGAAUAUUGACAUUGAUGCACGAAAGCGUGGGGAGCAAACAGG